GAUGUCUAGUAUAGCAUUUAUACAGUGAAACUGCGAAUGGCUCAUUAAAUCAGUUAUCGUUUAUUUGAUAGUACCUUUACUACUUGGAUAACCGUGGUAAUUCUAGAGCUAAUACAUGCUAAAAAUCCCGACUGUUUGGAAGGGAUGUAUUUAUUAGAUAAAAAAUCAAUGCUCUUUGAGCUCUUUGAUGAUUCAUAAUAACUUUUCGAAUCGCAUGGCCUUGUGCUGGCGAUGGUUCAUUCAAAUUUCUGCCCUAUCAACUUUCGAUGGUAGGAUAGUGGCCUACCAUGGUUUCAACGGGUAACGGGGAAUAAGGGUUCGAUUCCGGAGAGGGAGCCUGAGAAACGGCUACCACAUCCAAGGAAGGCAGCAGGCGCGCAAAUUACCCAAUCCCGACACGGGGAGGUAGUGACAAUACAUAACGAUACAGGGCCCUUUCGGGUCUUGUAAUUGGAAUGAGUACAAUGUAAAUACCUUAACGAGGAACAAUUGGAGGGCAAGUCUGGUGCCAGCAGCCGCGGUAAUUCCAGCUCCAAUAGCGUAUAUUAAAGUUGUUGCAGUUAAAAAGCUCGUAGUUGAACUUUGGGCUUGGUUGGCCGGUCCGCCUUUUUGGCGAGUACUGGACCCAACCGAGCCUUUCCUUCUGGCUAACCAUUCGCCCUUGUGGUGUUUGGCGAACCAGGACUUUUACUUUGAAAAAAUUAGAGUGUUCAAAGCAGGCCUUUGCUCGAAUAUAUUAGCAUGGAAUAAUAGAAUAGGACGUUAUGGUUCUAUUUUGUUGGUUUCUAGGACCAUCGUAAUGAUUAAUAGGGACGGUCGGGGGCAUCAGUAUUCAGUUGUCAGAGGUGAAAUUCUUAGAUUUACUGAAGACUAACUACUGCGAAAGCAUUUGCCAAGGACGUUUUCAUUAAUCAAGAACGAAAGUUAGGGGAUCGAAGAUGAUCAGAUACCGUCGUAGUCUUAACCAUAAACUAUGCCGACUAGGGAUCGGGUGUUGUUCUUUUUUUGACGCACUCGGCACCUUACGAGAAA
rnacentral:rRNA from 1 species